AGCGAACGCUGGCGGCAGGCCUAACACAUGCAAGUCGAACGAACUCUUCGGAGUUAGUGGCGGGCGGGUGAGUAACACGUGGGAACGUGCCUUUAGGUUCGGAAUAACUCAGGGAAACUUGUGCUAAUACCGAAUGUGCCCUUCGGGGGAAAGAUUUAUCGCCUUUAGAGCGGCCCGCGUCUGAUUAGCUAGUUGGUGAGGUAAAGGCUCACCAAGGCGACGAUCAGUAGCUGGUCUGAGAGGAUGAUCAGCCACAUUGGGACUGAGACACGGCCCAAACUCCUACGGGAGGCAGCAGUGGGGAAUCUUGCGCAAUGGGCGAAAGCCUGACGCAGCCAUGCCGCGUGAAUGAUGAAGGUCUUAGGAUUGUAAAAUUCUUUCACCGGGGACGAUAAUGACGGUACCCGGAGAAGAAGCCCCGGCUAACUUCGUG
rnacentral:rRNA from 1 species